rnacentral:rRNA from 1 species
AUUGACCGCUGGCGGCAGGCCUAACACAUGCAAGUCGAACGAGUGGCGGACGGGUGAGUAAUGUCUGGGAAACUGCCCGAUGGAGGGGGAUAACUACUGGAAACGGUAGCUAAUACCGCAUACCAUCGGAUGUGCCCAGAUGGGCUUAGCUAGUAGGUGGGGUAACGGCGCACCUAGGCGACGAUCCCUAGCUGGUCUGAGAGGAUGACCAGCCACACUGGAACUGAUACACGGUCCAGACUCCUGCGGGAGGCAGCAGUGGGGAAUAUUGCACAAUGGGCGCAAGCCUGAUGCAGCCAUGCCGCUUAUAUGAAGAAGGCCUUCGGGUUGUAGAGUACUUUCAGCGGGGCGGCGUUACCCGCAGAAGAAGCACCGGCUAACUCCGUGCCAGCAGCCGCGGUAAUAC